AGCGAACGCUGGCGGCAGGCCUAACACAUGCAAGUCGAACGAACUCUUCGGAGUUAGUGGCGGACGAGUGAGUAACACGUGGGAACGUGCCUUUAGGUUCGGAAUAACUCAGGGAAACUUGUGCUAAUACCGAAUGUGCCCUUCGGGGGAAAGAUUUAUCGCCUUUAGAGCGGCCCGCGUCUGAUUAGCUAGUUGGUGAGGUAACGGCUCACCAAGGCGACGAUCAGUAGCUGGUCUGAGAGGACGGCCAGCCACACUGGGACUGAGACACGGCCCAGACUCCUACGGGAGGCAGCAGUGGGGAAUCUUGCGCAAUGGGCGAAAGCCUGACGCAGCCAUGCCGCGUGAAUGAUGAAGGUCUUAGGAUUGUAAAAUUCUUUCACCGGGGACGAUAAUGACGGUACCCGGAGAAGAAGCCCCGGCUAACUUCGUGCCAGCAGCCGCCGUAA
rnacentral:rRNA from 1 species